rnacentral:rRNA from 1 species
CGAUGAGGGGAGUGAAAUAGACCUGAAACCGAAUGCCUACAAUCAGUCGGAGCCAUCUUGAGUGGUGACGGCGUACCUUUUGUAUAAUGGGUCAGCGAGUUACUUUGACAUGCAAGCCUAAGCCGUUAGGUGUAAGCGAAGCGAAAGCGAGUCUGAAUAGGGCGAUUUAGUAUGUUUGAGUAGACCCGAAACCGGGUGAUCUAGCCAUGGGCAGGUUGAAGGUACGGUAACACGUACUGAAGGACCGAACCCACGCAUGUUGAAAAAUGCGGGGAUGACCUGUGGCUAGGGGUGAAAGGCCAAUCAAACCCGGAGAUAGCUGGUUCUCCGCGAAAACUAUUUAGGUAGUGCGUUAUAUAUUACUGCCGGGGGUAGAGCACUGGAUGGGCUAGGGGGGCGCGAGCCUUACCAAACCUAACCAAACUCCGAAUACCUGUAAGUACAGCACGGCAGACAGACUAUGGGUGCUAAGGUCCAUAGUCGAGAGGGAAACAGCCCAGACCUCCAGCUAAGGUCCCUAAAUUAUGGCUAAGUGGGAAAGGAUGUGGGAAGGCCAAGACAGCCAGGAGGUUGGCUUAGAAGCAGCCAUCCUUUAAAGAAAGCGUAACAGCUCACUGGUCUAAAUAAGCCGGCCUGCGCCGAAGAUGUAACGGGGCUAAAGCCAUACACCGAAGCUGUGGAUGCCGUAAGGCAUGGUAGCGGAGCGUUCUGUAAGCCGCUGAAGGUAACACGUGAGUGUUAUUGGAGGUAUCAGAAGUGAGAAUGCUGACAUGAGUAGCGAUAAAGAGUGUGAGAAACACUCUCGCCGAAAGCCCAAGGGUUCCUGCGCAAGGCUAAUCCGCGCAGGGUGAGUCGGCCCCUAAGACGAGGGCGAAAGCCGUAGUCGAUGGGAAUCAGGUUAAUAUUCCUGAACCCGAUGGUAGUGACGGAUGACGUAAGUUGUACAUGCUUAUCGGAUUGUGUGUGCAGCGAAGUUGUCCCAGGAAAUAGCUCCAUCAUUAGGACCGUACCCCAAACCGACACAGGAGGGCAGGUAGAGCAUACCGAGGCGCUUGAGAGAACGAUGUUGAAGGAACUCGGCAAAUUGCCCCCGUAACUUCGGGAGAAGGGGGACCUCCAUUAAGGCAACUUUUUGGAGGUGGCACAGACCAGGGGGUGGCGACUGUUUAUUAAAAACACAGGGCUCUGCGAAGUAGUUAAUACGACGUAUAGGGUCUGACGCCUGCCCGGUGCUGGAAGGUUAAGAGGAGGUGUGAGAGCUCCGAAUUGAAGCCCCAGUAAACGGCGGCCGUAACUAUAACGGUCCUAAGGUAGCGAAAUUCCUUGUCGGGU